rnacentral:rRNA from 1 species
ACGUCAAAUCAUCAUGCCCUUUAUGUUCUGGGCUACACACGUGCUACAAUGGCCGGUACAGAGGGUUGCCAAGCCGCGAGGCGGAGCCAAUCCCAAAAGCCGGUCUCAGUUCGGAUUGCAGUCUGCAACUCGACUGCAUGAAGUCGGAAUCGCUAGUAAUCGCGAGUCAGCAUAUCGCGGUGAAUACGUUCCCGGGUCUU